GUGUUAAAAAUGACCGCUGAAUUUUUUGAUUUAUUGCUCGUGCUUUGGCAGCAUUGAUUUCAAUAAUUAAACGCGACCGACAACGCGAUGUUUUUGCAUUGCCGAAGACAUUUUUUGUCACUUGGAAGUGUUUUCUAUUUCAUUGCUUCGUCAUUCAUUUUCAUACCUCUGACCAAGGUACACGUUUUUAGUUUAUUUCUGUACAAAUCGUAAUCGGUCAAUUUUAUUAAAGUUGAAUUGAGGGAUUAGAUUACGUGUGAUUUACUAGAUAUUUUAAAGCUCCGCUACAUACACAUGUCUAUGAAUUAUCUUACGUUCAAUAAAUGAUUACGAAUGGAGAA